rnacentral:misc_RNA from 1 species
GGGUAAGCAACCAACUUCAAUCAUUCUAUCACAAUGCUUGAGUGCAUCAUCACUCAUUUUAUUAUCACAGAGAACCUUGAGGAAACAAUUAUAAGUAACUAUAUCAGGUGGGUAACCUUUCUUUCCCAUCUCUUCCAAAAACAUGUAAGCUUCCUGGACCUUUCCAGCCAUACACAUCCCUUCAAUCAGUUCCUUGUAUGUAGAAACGUCAGGAAGACAACCACUUUUUAUCAUGUAUUCC